UCAAGUGAAGAAGCGCAUACGGUGGAUGCCUUGGCAGUCAGAGGCGAUGAAAGACGUGGUAGCCUGCGAAAAGCUUCGGGGAGUCGGCAAACAGACUUUGAUCCGGAGAUCUCUGAAUGGGGGAACCCACCUAGGAUAACCUAGGUAUCUUGUACUGAAUCCAUAGGUGCAAGAGGCGAACCAGGGGAACUGAAACAUCUAAGUACCCUGAGGAAAAGAAAUCAACCGAGAUUCCCUUAGUAGUGGCGAGCGAACGGGGAUUAGCCCUUAAGCUUCAUUGAUUUUAGCGGAACGCUCUGGAAAGUGCGGCCAUAGUGGGUGAUAGCCCCGUACGCGAAAGGAUCUUUGAAGUGAAAUCGAGUAGGACGGAGCACGAGAAACUUUGUCUGAACAUGGGGGGACCAUCCUCCAAGGCUAAAUACUACUGACUGACCGAUAGUGAACCAGUACCGUGAGGGAAAGGCGAAAAGAACCCCGGAGAGGGGAGUGAAAUAGAACCUGAAACCGUAUGCGUACAAGCAGUGGGAGCCUACUUGUUAGGUGACUGCGUACCUUUUGUAUAAUGGGUCAGCGACUUAUAUUCAGUGGCAAGCUUAACCGUAUAGGGUAGGCGUAGCGAAAGCGAGUCUUAAUAGGGCGUUUAGUCGCUGGGUAUAGACCCGAAACCGGGCGAUCUAUCCAUGAGCAGGUUGAAGGUUAGGUAACACUGACUGGAGGACCGAACCCACUCCCGUUGAAAAGGUAGGGGAUGACUUGUGGAUCGGAGUGAAAGGCUAAUCAAGCUCGGAGAUAGCUGGUUCUCCUCGAAAGCUAUUUAGGUAGCGCCUCAUGUAUCACUCUGGGGGGUAGAGCACUGUUUCGGCUAGGGGGUCAUCCCGACUUACCAAACCGAUGCAAACUCCGAAUACCCAGAAGUGCCGAGCAUGGGAGACACACGGCGGGUGCUAACGUCCGUCGUGAAAAGGGAAACAACCCAGACCGCCAGCUAAGGUCCCAAAGUUGUGGUUAAGUGGUAAACGAUGUGGGAAGGCUUAGACAGCUAGGAGGUUGGCUUAGAAGCAGCCAUCCUUUAAAGAAAGCGUAAUAGCUCACUAGUCGAGUCGGCCUGCGCGGAAGAUGUAACGGGGCUCAAACCACACACCGAAGCUGCGGGUGUCACGUAAGUGACGCGGUAGAGGAGCGUUCUGUAAGCCUGUGAAGGUGAGUUGAGAAGCUUGCUGGAGGUAUCAGAAGUGCGAAUGCUGACAUGAGUAACGACAAUGGGUGUGAAAAACACCCACGCCGAAAGACCAAGGGUUCCUGCGCAACGUUAAUCGACGCAGGGUUAGUCGGUUCCUAAGGCGAGGCUGAAAAGCGUAGUCGAUGGGAAACAGGUUAAUAUUCCUGUACUUCUGGUUACUGCGAUGGAGGGACGGAGAAGGCUAGGCCAGCUUGGCGUUGGUUGUCCAAGUUUAAGGUGGUAGGCUGAAAUCUUAGGUAAAUCCGGGGUUUCAAGGCCGAGAGCUGAUGACGAGUCGUCUUUUAGAUGACGAAGUGGUUGAUGCCAUGCUUCCAAGAAAAGCUUCUAAGCUUCAGGUAACCAGGAACCGUACCCCAAACCGACACAGGUGGUCGGGUAGAGAAUACCAAGGCGCUUGAGAGAACUCGGGUGAAGGAACUAGGCAAAAUGGCACCGUAACUUCGGGAGAAGGUGCGCCGGCUAGGGUGAAGGAUUUACUCCGUAAGCUCUGGCUGGUCGAAGAUACCAGGCCGCUGCGACUGUUUAUUAAAAACACAGCACUCUGCAAACACGAAAGUGGACGUAUAGGGUGUGACGCCUGCCCGGUGCCGGAAGGUUAAUUGAUGGGGUUAGCGCAAGCGAAGCUCUUGAUCGAAGCCCCGGUAAACGGCGGCCGUAACUAUAACGGUCCUAAGGUAGCGAAAUUCCUUGUCGG
rnacentral:rRNA from 1 species